AACGAACGCUGGCGGCAUGCCUAACACAUGCAAGUCGAACGAAGCCUUCGGGCUUAGUGGCGCACGGGUGCGUAACGCGUGGGAAUCUGCCCUUGGUUCGGAAUAACAGUUAGAAAUGACUGCUAAUACCGAAUGAUGUCUUCGGACCAAAGAUUUAUCGCCCAAGGAUGAGCCCGCGUCGGAUUAGCUAGUUGGUGAGGUAAAGGCUCACCAAGGCGACGAUCCGUAGCUGGUCUGAGAGGAUGAUCAGCCACACUGGGAACUGAGACACGGCCCAGACUCCUACGGGAGCA
rnacentral:rRNA from 1 species